rnacentral:rRNA from 1 species
ACUGGUUGAUCCUGCCAGUAGUCAUAUGCUUAUCUUUAAAGAUUAAGUCAUACAUGUGUAAGUAAGAACUAACUAUGAAACUGCGAAUGGCUCAUUAAAUCUGUUAUAGUUUGUUUGAUGGUAUCUACUACUCGGAUAAUCGUAGUAAUUCUAGAGCUAAUACGUGCAACAACCCUGACUUCUGGAAGGGAUCCAUUUAUUAGAUAAAAGGCUGACGCAGGCUCUACCUGUUGCUUUGAUGAUUCACGAUAACUCGAUGGAUCGCACAGCUAUCGUGCUGGCGAUGCGCCAUUCAAAUAUCUGCCCUAUCAACUUUCAAUGGUAGGAUAGUGACCUGCCAUGGUGGUGACGGGUGACAAAGAAUUAGGGUUUGAUUCCUGAGAAGGAGCCUUAGAAACGGGUACCACAUUCAAGGAAGGCAUCAUGCGCACAAAUUACCCUAACCUGACACGGGGAGGUAGUGAUAAUAAAUAACAAUACUAGGCUCAUAGAGUCUGGUAAUUGGAAUGAGUACAAUCUAAAUCCCUUAACGAGGAUCCAUUGGAGGUCAAGUCUAGUGCCAGCAAUCACAGUAAUUCCAGCUCUAAUAGUGUAUAUUUAAGUUGUUGCAAUUAAAAAGCUCGUAGUUGGACCUUGGGUUGGGUCGAACGAUCAGCUCGUCCCUUCUACCGGCAAUACGCUCCUUACCUUAAUUGGUCGAGUCAUACCUGCGGUGCUAUUACUUUGAAGAAAUUAGAGUGCUCAAACAAGUUUGUGCUCUGGAUACAUUAGCAUGGGAUAACAUCAUAGGAUUUCAGUCAUAUUCUGUUGGCCUUCAGGAUUAGAGUAAUGAUUAACAAGGACAGUCAGGGCAUUCGUAUUUCAUAGUCAGAGGUGAAAUUCUCAUAUUUAUGACAGGCAAACAACUGUAAAAGCAUUUGCCAAGGAUGUUUUCAUUAAUCAAGAACGAAAGUUAGGGCCUUGAAGACGAUCAAAUACCAUCCUAGUCUCAACCAUAAAUGAUGCCGACCAAGGAUCGACGAAUGUUGCUUUUAGGACUCCGCCGGCACUUUAUGAGAAAUCAAAGUUUUUUGGUUUCGGGGGGGAGUAUGGUUGCAGAUCGCGGUGACAUGGGUGGUUCGAUGCCCGUAAUGUCGUAAGAAGUAUAUUGAACCUUAUCAUUUAGAGGAAGGUGAAGUCGUAACAAGUUUUUCGUAGGUGAACCUAUAGAAUGAUCGUUGUUGAAACCUGCAUAGCAGAACAACUUGAGAACUAGUUUCAAAGAGGGGGAUGAUGGGUUUUGCAGCUCCUUGUCCCUUUAUCUCGGGAGGGUUGCGUUGCGUUCAUGCAACCGACCCUUACGGGCAUACAAACGAACAUUGAUGCGAAUCGCGUCAAGGAACUUGAAUGAGAGAGCGCGUCCUUAUUACCCUGGAAAAGGUGUGUGCGUGUGGCGUCGUCAUCCUCAAAUAUGUCAAAACGACUCUCAACAACGGAUAUCUCGGCUCUCACAUGGAUGAAGAACAUAGCGAAAUGGGAUCCUUGGUGUGAAUUGCAGAAUCCCGUGAACCAUCGAGUCUUUGAACGCAAGUUGUGCCCGAAGCCAAUAGGAAGAGGGCACGCAUGCCUGGGCAUUACACGUUGUUGUCCCCCAACUACUCCCUCAGGAUUGCAGGGGGUAGAUGAUGGCCUCCUAUAAUCUCCGUUGUGCAGUUGGCAUAAAUACGAAGUCCUCGGCUACGCACG